rnacentral:rRNA from 1 species
GUGAACGCUGGCGGUAGGCCUAACACAUGCAAGUCGAACGGCAGCACAGUAAGAGCUUGCUCUUACGGGUGGCGAGUGGCGGACGGGUGAGGAAUACAUCGGAAUCUACUUUUUCGUGGGGGAUAACGUAGGGAAACUUACGCUAAUACCGCAUACGACCUACGGGUGAAAGCAGGGGAUCUUCGGACCUUGCGCGAUUGAAUGAGCCGAUGUCGGAUUAGCUAGUUGGCGGGGUAAAGGCCCACCAAGGCGACGAUCCGUAGCUGGUCUGAGAGGAUGAUCAGCCACACUGGAACUGAGAAACGGUCCAGACUCCUACGGGAGGCAGCAGUGGGGAAUAUUGGACAAUGGGCGCAAGCCUGAUCCAGCCAUACCGCGUGGGUGAAGAAGGCCUUCGGGUUGUAAAGCCCUUUUGUUGGGAAAGAAAAGCAGCAGGUUAAUACCCCGCUGUUCUGACGGUACCAAAAGAAUAAGCACCGGCUAACUUCGUG